CGGUUCUGGUUCUGGUUCUGGUCCGGUCCGGUCCGUCCACCCCGCUGCGUGAGCCGCAGGCCCAUCAGCAUGCAGGCUGGGCCGCUUGCCUGAUCUCUGCUGCGUGUUGUUGUCACCACGCUGACAGCCGAGCCGUUCUGGAACUGAAACAGUAAUCCAUCAUCCCGGGAGGAGGAGGAGGAGGAGGAGGUGUUGCCACGACAACCAGCUCAGGUACCCAGACAUCCCGCGUACCUGCAGGAGUUUCCAGAGGAAAACUUUCUCAGUCCAGCUGUCGGGAUUAUUCUUUAACAAACCAACCAGCUGCUCUCAGUCAGCAGGUGUUGAAAGAUUCGGGCAAAACAUUUUCCAUUCACUCUGCUGCUGCUGCAAACCAGCAGGCUAACCGUUAGCUCACCGCCGUCUGGAAGUAAAGAUGGCCGCCAUGUUUCCCGCUCCUUCCCGCACGGCGACGCACCUUUUGUCCUAAUUUUACUCACCUGUGAGGUUUAUGAACGUUAAAAUCUUCUCACCCUGUAAACGACGUUCGCCGUUAAGACUCGGCAGGUCCGUGUGGUUGACGGCGGCGGCCAUUUUGUGUCCUCACCGAAGCGUUUUUACCUAAAGAAUGAGGUUCGGUUCGCCGACCCGCAGCACCGCGAGCGUUUUCACACCGGAAUCGACUUCCGGUGUCAUGGCGGAGUGGAACGGCGUGACGUCAAGAACUAAAUAGAAACAAUUGUAGGGGUGUGAACCGAGUGGAGGAGGCAGCUUUAUUAAAGUUUAUUACAUCACAAACAUGCAGAGUUUUGACGUCAUUUAAACACUAAAAUUAAUCAACAUUCAUUUCUGCUGGUUUUCUGCCGCCAUCUGGUGGACAGAUGGCGCCACUGCAGCAUCACAGACCCGGUUCCAGGUCCAGAAUGCUCCUCUUUGGUUCCCCAAACAAAAUGACAAAACAUUUUAUUAGUGUGUGGUUCCGGCCCAGUGGACCGCUCAGAACUCGUUCCUUUAAAUACCCUGAGGAGG